rnacentral:rRNA from 1 species
UGCAGUCGAACGGUGAAAGAGAGCUUGCUCUCUGGAUCAGUGGCGAACGGGUGAGUAACACGUGAGCAAUCUGCCCCUGACUCUGGGAUAAGCGCUGGAAACGGCGUCUAAUACCGGAUACGAGCUGCGAAGGCAUCUUCAGCAGCUGGAAAGAACUUCGGUCAGGGAUGAGCUCGCGGCCUAUCAGCUAGUUGGUGAGGUAAUGGCUCACCAAGGCGUCGACGGGUAGCCGGCCUGAGAGGGUGACCGGCCACACUGGGACUGAGACACGGCCCAGACUCCUACGGGAGGCAGCAGUGGGGAAUAUUGCACAAUGGGCGCAAGCCUGAUGCAGCAACGCCGCGUGAGGGACGACGGCCUUCGGGUUGUAAACCUCUUUUAGCAGGGAAGAAGCGAAAGUGACGGUACCUGCAGAAAAAGCACCGGCUAACUACGUGCCAGCAGCCGCGGUAAUACGUAGGGUGCAAGCGUUAUCCGGAAUUAUUGGGCGUAAAGAGCUCGUAGGCGGUUUGUCGCGUCUGCUGUGAAAACUGGGGGCUCAACCCCCAGCCUGCAGUGGGUACGGGCAGACUAGAGUGCGGUAGGGGAGAUUGGAAUUCCUGGUGUAGCGGUGGAAUGCGCAGAUAU